UAAUGCCUACGGGGGGCAGCAGUGGGGGAUAUUGCACAAUGGGGGGAACCCUGAUGCAGCGACGCCGCGUGGGUGAAGGAGUAUUUCGGUAUGUAAAGCCCUAUCAGCAGGGAAGAACAAUGACGGUACCUGACUAAGAAGCACCGGCGAAAUACGUGCCAGCAGCCGCGGUAAUACGUAUGGUGCAAGCGUUAUCCGGCUUUACUGAGUGUAAAGGGAGCGCAGGCGGCGCGUUAAGCCUGGUGUGAAAGCCAGCGGCCCAACCGCGGAACUGCAUUGGGAACUGGCGCGCUGUAGUGCCGGAG
rnacentral:rRNA from 1 species